rnacentral:rRNA from 1 species
GAAUAUUGGACAAUGGGCGCAAGCCUGAUCCAGCCAUGCCGCGUGAGUGAAGAAGGCCUUAGGGUUGUAAAGCUCUUUCACCCGUGACGAUGAUGACGGUAGCGGGAGAAGAAGCCCCGGCUAACUCCGUGCCAGCCGCCGCGGUAAUACAGAGGGUGCGAGCGUUAAUCGGAAUUACUGGGCGUAAAGCGCACGUAGGUGGCGACGUAAGUCGGGUGUGAAAGCCCUGGGCUCAACCUGGGAAUUGCAUUCGAGACUGCAUUGCUGGAGUACGGAAGAGGAGGGCGGAAUUCCCGGUGUAGCGGUGAAAUGCGUAGAUAUCGGGAGGAACAUCAGUGGCGAAGGCGGCCCUCUGGUCCAGUACUGACACUCAAGUGCGAAAGCGUGGGGAGCAAACAGG